rnacentral:lncRNA from 1 species
GAGUGUCAUACUUUUGAAUGAUAAAAUUAACAGUAUCGAUACUCUGAUUCGAUAGUAUUCAAAUAAGUAAGUAAUCGGUACUUUCGGGUAUCGAUUCAUCUCUACAUAUGAGCAAGUGCUUGUUUAUAAAGGGAUGAAAAAAUUUUGCACAAAACUACUCAAUCUGGCAAUUUUAUAUUUGGCAACAUGCGUACGCAGUCCGGCAGGCAACAGGCAAACAUUCCAUUUUUUGUGUUUUUGCACAAAACCACUCAAUCUGGCAAUUUGAUAUUUGGCAACAUGCGUACGCAGGCCGGCAGGCAACAAGUAAACACUCCGUUUUUUUGUGUUUAUCACCUCUGGAUGAGGACACAUUUACUUUUACUUGACAUUCCAAAAAGAAAAUCUUUGAUCC